rnacentral:siRNA from 1 species
GGAGCGGCCGUCGGUGCAG